rnacentral:rRNA from 1 species
GACGAACGCUGGCGGCGUGCCUAAUACAUGCAAGUCGAGCGAACCACUUCGGUGGUGAGCGGCGAACGGGUGAGUAACACGUAGGUGAUCUGCCCAUCAGACGGGGACAACGAUUGGAAACGAUCGCUAAUACCGGAUAGGACGAAAGUUUAAAGGUGCUUCUGGCACCGCUGAUGGAUGAGCCUGCGGCGCAUUAGCUAGUUGGUAGGGUAAAGGCCUGCCAAGGCGACGAUGCGUAGCCGACCUGAGAGGGUGAACGGCCGCACUGGGACUGGGACACGGCCCAGACGCCUACGGGAGGCAGCAGUAGGGAAUCUUCGGCAAUGGGCGAAAGCCUGACCGAGCAACGCCGCGUGAAUGAUGAAGGCCUUCGGGUUGUAAAAUUCUGUUAUAAGGGAAGAACGACUUUAGUAGGAAAUGGCUAGAGUGUGACGGUACCUUAUGAGAAAGCCACGGCUAACUACGUGCCAGCCGCCGCCGUAAGAC